rnacentral:lncRNA from 1 species
AAAUUUUGCAAAACAGUAGUCAUAUAUGUCUAGUUCAUACCUAAAAAUUUUCAUGACAAUCUAAAGAGAAUUGAGUUUUUAGUGAAUUUGCAAACUACAGUGGUAUUGCUGAAUUUUUGGUACUUCAAAAACUAGUUAUGUUAUGCAAUAUUGUUUUCACUAAUUUGUGCAUAUUCAAUAGUACCAAUUGUUUGACAUGUUUAUUUGCUCUAAUAUGUCCUGGUUUUCAAUGCAAAUUCUCAAUUCUAAUGACUUUUAUUAGUCAACACUGAUUAAAUUUUGGUUGAAAAGUGUAUUGGUUUAUUUUGCACAAACCAAUGUUUUGUUUGGUCAUCAAUUUUAAUUAUGAUGAUCAUUGUCUUUUGAGACAAAAAUUGGAAAGUGGCAUCAGUUUACUAAUUGAUCAUUUUGGUCCCUAUCGAAUAACUGAAUAACCAUGUUUCCUCUUUCGAGAACUCUAUUGUUCAAUGUCAAACAACGACAUACUUUUUGUGUCUGAUUGAAUCUUUUGAGAAUCAUUGAAUAUCCAACAAAACGGUUAUUUAAUACUGCUCUAAAAGAUUAUUUUGAAAAAUCAAAAUUCUAAUUUAUAUGGUAAAUACUUUUUUCCCAAUGGGAAUUUCAGGAAAUCACUCACCAAUUAUAAAUUAGUAUUAUAGCAAAUCAUAAAAUACUUUUAACAUAUGUUCAUCUGGCCAAAGCUGUUGAAGCUAUAUGUAUUUUGUGUAUUUUAUGUUUUGGCUAGCUAUGCAGGUAUUUUCUUUGCAUGAUUAGUUUUUGCCCAAAGGUGUAACAAUCAUGCAAUUUGCUUUUGGUUUGAUCCUCCACAACUCGACUACUUCCAUGAUGAAUCUUGCAGAAUCGAGAAUGAGUAGGUAAAUUUACCAAUCUUUUGUCUUAAUUUUCUCUGAGUUCUAAAUUGGAUUAAAAUUAUUGUUGAAAAAUUGAUGUUAUUGAGAUAUCUAAGUGUUUAUUUUAAUCGACUUUGUUUUAGAAUUAAAACAUAAAUUUUGAGUUUGAAUUCUCAUAUUAGGUUUCAUUUUUAAUUGAUGACCUAAUCUUUCACAAAUAUGUGAGUCUUCUCUCGUACACUAAAAUAAAAUAAAAUUUGUAGUCAUUGCAUAAGUUUUUUAUUUUUUUUAUUUUUUUUAUUUAUGGAACUUUUAAUUCGAACCUAUUAAAAUAUAUAUAUAUAUAUAUAUAUAUAUGUAUUUGAUUUUUAUUGAUUCAAUUAGCCUAUAUUUUGUUAUAUGAAAACCACUUUCUCUGAUGUUUAAUCUUGCAAUUUUGAGUGUUUGCCCAAGUGGGAGAAAGAAUGUAUUAUGGGCUUCACACUCAUCAAUUUUGCAUGCUUUUAAUGGUCAUAGUUUUGGUAGAUAGAACGUACAUUAUCAUACUUGUUUAUAUUUUAUAUAUGCAACUAAUCUUGAAAGAAAUUCUAGAAGGAUUAAUGAGUAUAUUCUGCUUAAAAGUGUUUUGCUUAUUAAUUCUUGUUUGUUGUUCAAGAAAUUGGAGUUGUGAUUUAUAUGUUAGUUUGGAAUAAUUAAUCUACUCAAAAGUGUUUUCUUAUUCAGUACAACUAUAAAUCAAUGUAUAGUGAAACAUGAAAUUGACAAGAUUGUAUAUACUUCAUCUGCUCAAAAGUGUUGAAGCUAUAUAAGUUUACCCUUGUAUUUUAUGUUUUAGCUAUGCAAACCUAACAUAAUUAGUUUCUGUCCAAAGAUGAUUAUGGAAUUAUAUGCUUUUGAUGCGAUAAGAAAACAUUUAGUUAAAGUUUUCUAUUUCUGUCAAAUGUUAGAUGAACAAAACUAACCAAAUGAUUUUGUAUAGUUUUUCAGUCAUAAAAGUCACUUCCUUACAGAUAUCUAGAAUAAAGAUGUUGAGCUCACAAAUUUUAUGUUCUAGAUCCCAUGACUAAUGUUUUUCCAAUGGGAGUAUGUGAAAGGUAUUUGUUUCAUUUUGUAGACAUUUACAAAGUUUUGUUUUACUCUCUUAAUCAGUGGAAGUAAUAAUAAUUUAUCAAUAUAAUUUUGUCUCUGUUAAUCAAUGGGAGUAAGAGAUUACCUUUUGUGUUAAAAAAUUUGAAGUGUUAGUAGCUGAAACUUUAAGAGUAAAUUUUGUUUAAAUUUUGUUCAUCAAGUCCUGAUUUUGUAAACAAUAUGUCGUAUUUUACUUGUUCUCUUAUUAUAUUCUAAAUUCACAGAAAAGUUGGAUUUUGUUGCAAAAGAGUCAGUGAUCUCACGCCUAGAGACCAAGCCAUCACGUUGCAAACGCGAGUAUCUCUGAUCAACAUCAAAGGGGGUUGGCUUGGAAACUGAGAGCUGAGUAUUAUUCAAGGGAUUAUUCUGUAGUGCUGUACCUACUCAAGAUGAUGCCAAAGUGGCCCCUUGAAUAAGUAAUGAAGGUAAUCGUCCAUCAAACCUUUGGAAAGGUGCACUGUACUGCAUGAACAUGAGGAAAUGCUAACAAAUAAGAAUUAUAAAAGGGAAAAUUAGGUUCACAUUCUUCUUUUUGUUACUUCAUUGAUUAAAAUCCUAUUCAUUUUCAAUUUUUGAUCAAGGUCCUUGGGUAUUAAUAACAUCAUUAAUUAUUUGAAUAAUAAAAUAUUUUUAUUUUUAAAUAUAUUCCUUUAAUGUUAAAAAUGUUACAAUUAGUAUAUUUAUAUUUAUAGCUAAAUUUUGUUAUCAUAUAAUUUUAUUUUUAGUUUGUACCUAUUUUUAAUUUGCAAAUAUUUUUUAAUUUGUACCAAUUUUCUUUUCAUUUUUAAUUUGUACCCAUAUAUUAGUUCCUUUUUGUGCCCAUAUUUUUUAAAGUUUUAUUUGUGUUUGUACCCAUGUGUAUACCGUCACGUGACAUUGUAUAUUUAAUCAAUAAUAGAAAAAUUACAUAUGGUAUAUUUAUGUUUUAUGCCUAAACUUUGUAUCAUAUAUUUAUAUUUUCAAUUUGUACCCACUUUUAAUUUGCAACAUUUUUUUUUUAAUUUGUAGUAUUUUCUUUUUAGUUUUAUUUUGUACCCAUGUACUAAUUUCUUUUAGCGCCUAUAUUUUUAAAAAUUCAUUUGUAUUAAUAAAUUUUAAUCUUUUAUUUGUACCCUAAUUUAUUUCUAAUGUACCCAUUCUUCUUUAUUAAUGUACCACUUUGUUAUAUGUGAAAUGUACCAAUUUUUUUGUAAAAUGUACCAAUUUUUUUAACACUAUGGAUACAUUCUUUUGCCAUUUAUUAUUUCUUAUUUUUACAUAUUUUUUAUCCAUUUAUUCAAUUAAAAUGUUUGAAUUUUUUUAUUGUAACCGUUUCUAAUAGUAUUAUAAUGAGGGAUUUUAAAUUUAUAGGAUUAUAAAUCUCAUAAAAUAUCAAAUAAUUAACAAAACUAUAAAAAUAUAAAUAUUAAUAGUAAUAUAAUGAGGUGUACAAAGUCAAGGGACCUUGAUCAAACUUUGAAUAAUAUUAAGGUUUUAAUCAAAGAAUGUUAAGGAUUAGGGACCGCAUCCAAAAUAUCCCAUUAUAAAAACUAAAGUGAAUCAAACCCAUGGAUCUUAUGGGGAUUACCUUCAUAAAAGCUUAAGCAUUUUGGAAAGAAAAUUUUCAUUUAAAAAUAAAUUUUAACGUCUUUCUAUUCAAGUAUGUUGGCCCAAAAUUAAAAGUGAUAGAUGCUUUCAAACAGUUUACUUUGUACGCAUCAUUAACAUUACAAUUUUUUAGAAGUAAUGUAGAUGGAUUUGUUUAGUUGCAUCAGGCUCCUUAGUUUCCAACUGACAUGCCAAUUUAUGAUUCACUGCCCUUUCUUUUCAGACAAUAAAUCUAAAACAUUGAUAUAACCAAAUGCAUCCGAUAAAAAAAAACUACGUAAAUUUCCUAGGAGAGUUCCUGAACAGAAGAACCGAGAGAGUAUUGAGUUGAUCAUGGCUUUUAUACCUACCCCAGUGAAUAGCUGCUGGAAGAAGUAUCUCAGGAAUAAGCAAUAUUAUAAUGGAUUGCUCCGAAGCACAUAUUCUUCGAAUUCCUCACCGC